GACAACUUCGUAGCAAUGUAAGUUUAUUUACAUCUAUAAAAAUGAUAGUUAACCGUUGUUAUGUGACUUAUAUAGUUUUGUUUCAUAUCUUAUUUUCUUAGGAAUCCAAGGAGGUCUACCCGCAUAAGUAGACAACGUCUAUGAUCGAGAGAAUAGUCAUAUUUAUUUUUUAUUUUUCAUGAUUAAGAUUGGUUUUAAUGUUAAGACUUCAUGACUUCUCCUUAUUAUACUAUAUUAUACGUCUUUUAAAUAUCAUGCUUUACGUUUUAUAUUCGAUGUAUUAAAUAUAAAGUGGUCAAUCUUUCAAAC
rnacentral:lncRNA from 1 species